rnacentral:lncRNA from 1 species
UUUAGGGNAACCAAACACCUUGGUAGGGACAGGAAGGUAUCGUCGAUCCAGUAGAUAUCACGAUAAGACGGUGGAUCAUUUUACUCUUUGUGAUAAUGGAUAUAUGGUCACUGCCAGCCUUGGCAGUAAAUUUAUUAAAAUUUGGAAGAUUGAGAAAUAUGAAGAUUGUAUUCUGAAAACUGAUGUUACAGAACUGCAGAUUCUGAGAGAACACUCAGAUUAUCUAAGUGUUGUCAG